rnacentral:rRNA from 1 species
CACGUAGGGCGCAAGCGUUGUCCGGAAUUAUUGGGCGUAAAGAGCUCGUAGGCGGUCUGUUGCGUCUGCUGUGAAAACUCGGGGCUUAACCCCGAGCCUGCAGUGGAUACGGGCAGACUAGAGUGCGGUAGGGGAGACUGGAAUUCCUGGUGUAGCGGUGAAAUGCGCAGAUAUCAGGAGGAACACCGGUGGCGAAGGCGGGUCUCUGGGCCGUAACUGACGCUGAGGAGCGAAAGCAUGGGGAGCGAACAGG